rnacentral:rRNA from 1 species
CCUACGGGAGGCAGCAGUGAGGAAUAUUGGUCAAUGGACGCAAGUCUGAACCAGCCAUGCCGCGUGCAGGAUGACGGUCCUAUGGAUUGUAAACUGCUUUUGUACGAGAAGAAACACUCCUUCGUGAAGGAGCUUGACGGUAAUCGUAAGAAUAAGGAUCGGCUAACUCCGUGCCAGCACCGCGGUAA